rnacentral:lncRNA from 1 species
AUGGAGUAUGUGCAUAAAGAAUUGAGUUGGAGAGGGCAGCUACUUGGCUCAGUAAUCUGGUCUCAGACAUUUCCUACCUAUGUGACCCUGGACAAGUCACUUAACAUUCCCCCCCACACACACACACACACACUGCGCCCAUUGCCUUCACUUUCCUGCUCUUCUGACUUGGAGCCAAUAUACUAUUCUAAGACAGAAGAUAAAACCAAAAAGUGUCAGAUAUGCAUUUGAAACAUAACUAGAGAAGGAAGUGAAAUGUUUUUGAUUUAGAAGAGCAAGCCUCAGAAGAGAAUAACUCUAAACAGUGUCUUCAUCUGUCUUCAUUUCUUACCUCUGCAAAAAAGUUUUUGAAAACAAAAGCAGAUGCAGUAUCCUGAAGUUUCUGAAAUUCUAAACCUGGAAAGGGUCGAGGGGAUCGUUAUAGGAGAAAGAGAGGGAAGAAGAGAGGGAGAAAAAAAAUUUGUUAUUGAUCACCAAGAUUUGUUUUCUUCUCUCUACAUAUGGGUCAAAAGAAUCAACCUCACAACAAAAGAUGGUGAAGGCAUAGCUAUGCAAAAAUUAAUCUUAAGAAGAUCUCAGCUUCUUGGAGGACAGUGGAUCAAGGAGUCAGCAAUGUGUCAUGACAAAAACAAGGGAAAAAAAGAAUAUAAUGCCAUUAUAGGAUUCAUUAAGAAAGUCAGAUAUAGCCUUUCCAUAGGAGGAAAGAGGUAUCAUGAGUUGCCAUAA